GAUGAACGCUGGCGGCGUGCCUAAUACAUGCAAGUCGAGCGAACGGACGAGAAGCUUGCUUCUCUGAUGUUAGCGGCGGACGGGUGAGUAACACGUGGAUAACCUACCUAUAAGACUGGGAUAACUUCGGGAAACCGGGGCUAAUACCGGAUAAUAUUUUGAACCGCAUGGUUCAAAAGUGAAAGACGGUCUUGCUGUCACUUAUAGAUGGAUCCGCGCUGCAUUAGCUAGUUGGUAAGGUAACGGCUUACCAAGGCAACGAUGCAUAGCCGACCUGAGAGGGUGAUCGGCCACACUGGAACUGAGACACGGUCCAGACUCCUACGGGAGGCAGCAGUAGGGAAUCUUCCGCAAUGGGCGAAAGCCUUACGGAGCAACGCCGCGUGAGUGAUGAAGGUCUUCGGAUCGUAAAACUCUGUUAUUAGGGAAGAACAUAUGUGUAAGUAACUGUGCACAUCUUGACGGUACCUAAUCAGAAAGCCACGGCUAACUACGUG
rnacentral:rRNA from 1 species